rnacentral:rRNA from 1 species
AGUGAACGCUGGCGGUAGGCCUAACACAUGCAAGUCGAACGGCAGCACAGUAAGAGCUUGCUCUUACGGGUGGCGAGUGGCGGACGGGUGAGGAAUACAUCGGAAUCUACUUUUUCGUGGGGGAUAACGUAGGGAAACUUACGCUAAUACCGCAUACGACCUACGGGUGAAAGCAGGUGAUCUUCGGACCUUGCGCGAUUGAAUUAGCCGAUGUCGGAUUAGCUAGUUGGCGGGGUAACGGCCCACCAAGGCGACGAUCCGUAGCUGGUCUGAGAGGAUGAUCAGCCACACUGGAACCGAGACACGGUCCAGACUCCUACGGGAGGCAGCAGUGGGGAAUAUUGGACAAUGGGCGCAAGCCUGAUCCAGCCAUACCGCGUGGGUGAAGAAGGCCUUCGGGUUGUAAAGCCCUUUUGUUGGGAAAGAAAAGCAGCAGGUUAAUACCCCGCUGUUCUGACGGUACCCAAAGAAUAAGCACCGGCUAACUUCGUG